rnacentral:rRNA from 1 species
GACGAACGCUGGCGGCGUGCCUAAUACAUGCAAGUCGAGCGAAGCUUUUCUGGUGCUUGCACUAGAAAAACUUAGCGGCGAACGAGCGAGUAACACGUAAAGCACCUUCCUCAUAGACUGGGACAACUAUUGGAAACGAUUCCCAAUACCGGAUAACAGUACUUCUCGCUUGAGUGAUAUUUAAUAGUUUGUUAUGCUAACACUAUGCUAUCGCCUUGCGGUGCAUUAGUUAGUUGGUGGGGGAAAGGCCGACCACGCCGACGAUGCAUAGCCAGCCUGAGAGCGUGACCACCCCCACUGGGAUUUACACACGGACCAGACUCCUAAGGGUGGCAGCAGUAGGGAAUGUUGCACAAUGGGGGAAAGCCUGACAGUGCAACCUUGCCUGAGUGAGGAAGGAAUUCGGUCCUGGUAGCUCCGUCGUUAGGUAAUAACGGUUAUGUAGUGACUAAGCAGGUCUGAGACGGUACCUAACCAAAAAGCCACGGCUAACUACGUG